UUCUUAACUGCGAUUUGUCGCAGUUAAGAGUCGCAGUUAAGGAACAUAGGUCGUGUAUCCCUCCGCCACUGCUAUUUCUGCGAUUUCUGCUACUUCCGCGAUUUCUGCGACUUCUGCUACUUCUGUGACUUCUGCGAUUUCUGCUACUUCUGUGACUUCUGCGAUUUCUGCUACUUCUGCGAUUUCUGUGACUUCUGCUACUUCUGCGAUUUCUGUGACUCCUGCGAUUUCUGCGACUUACCACUGUAUGAAAAAGUUACAUCUGUCAACACAGAAAAUUGCAUCGCAACAAACCUGUCAUUGGCAAGUAUGUUUUACGUUUUUUCUUCCGUUGGCUUUAAUUUUGUAUUAAAGAAACAACUGUGAAAAUAUUAAUAGUGUAAUUAAUAUGUAAGUAGCCAUACAGUACCGUAAUAGUUCGUAUUUAGAAAAUGAAUUCUAACAUAUUGUUAUGUUCACAGAUACCUGAACUACAUUUCAGUCACUCAGUAAAGUGAUAACUCAAAAUAUCAUUAUCAACAGAUCUGAAGAAAGUGCCACUGCGUCUUUAGACCGUUUUCGUCAGACGAGAGACACAGUUCUGACUCUGAUUACUGGUUGCUGUACGUAUCUAUCCACAUCAAGGCUGUUGGGAGAGACUCGUGAAGAUUCAAGACAGCUCUUAGAGGAUUUGCAGUUUAAAAGUGAAGUAAUUGUGAAAUAAGUGUGUGAAUGAUUAAACUGUGUUUUAUUGAAGUUGUUGUGCGAUUUUAAAGGAAUAAUAAAUGUCAAAUACAGUGA